AUGGGUUACAGGAGAAUGGGAGCCUUGCUCUGUGACAUGUGGAAAAUCAGGGUAUCAGAGUCGUACAGUGAGGUGUAUUCAGCCCCUAAGUGACAAUACAAAUCGAUCAGUUCAUAGCAAGUACUGCAAUGAAAACCGUCCUGAAGCUAAAAGACCUUGUAAUCGCCAAGCUUGCCCAGCUCACUGGAGAAUAGGUCCAUGGUCACAGGUAUGUGCAAACUAUAUCAGUUAUUUCUCAAAUUGAAGAGAGUUGUUAACCUUGAAAUUUUCAGGGCCCUCAUUCACACCACCACCACAUAUAUUACUAGCCACUUAUGAAUAUGCAAUUAAACAUGUAUACACAGACCUGUCAGUUCACAUACAUGUAAUUAGCUACUCACACAUACACACAUGCAUAACUAGCUCCUGGCACACUUACCUAACAUGUUCAUACACACUCUAACAUACAUACAUUAAUACAAAAUCACAGAAAACUUAUAUUAACAGUCAUAGUAACACACUGACAUUUUUUUUUUUUUUUUUACUUAAAGCCAGUGCUUGCUAGUCAGACACCACAAUAAAACAAUAUUUAAAAUAAACUAGAAAAAAAGCCCAUGGUAGUCAAAAUGACCUCCAUCUAUUGAUGCCUAGUCACUAAAAAGGCCUCGUCCCAGAGAGUGUAACAGUAGUACCCUCUGCACAGUCUGUCUUGAGUGCCCUCACAGCCAGAGAGACUGUCAGUCAACCUGAUGUGCAUUCACAACAGACUGACAAAUCCCUUCCCCGUGUGCCCUAUCCCCUUUCUGGGUAGUACUGCCAAUUUUGGUCUGCCCACGCACCGUCCUGACUUUAUACCUCUUAAAGGACCACUAUAGGCACCUAGACCACUUCAGCUUAAUGAAGUGGUCUGGGUGCCUGGUCCAGCUAGGGUUAACCCCUUUUUUUUUAUAAACAUAGCAGUUUCAGAGAAACUGCUAUGUUUAUAAAUAGGUUAAUCCAGCCUCUAAAGCCUCUAGUGAAUGCUUUCCUAUGAGACAGUCUGAAUGCGCGCACAGCUCCUGCCGCGCAUGCGCAUUCAACUGAAGAGGCGGAGAGGAGGAGGAGGAUGGUGGGGGCACCAUCAGGGCACUAUAGUGCCAGGAAAACGAGUAUGUUUUCCUGGCACUAUAGUGGUCCUUUAAGUACAAGACCUAUCUAGUAAUCUUAUCAUUGACAGUGAGAUAGAGGUAAUACAUUGAGACAUGAAGGAAUUCAAAUUUGCAAACAACAGAGGACAUUUUUUUACAGUAGGAACAAUAAGAUGUGGAGUCAUCUGCCUAAAAAGUUUAUUUAUAAGAUUCUUUACAGAAUUGAAAAAAAAAAGGUUGUAUUGUUGUCCAUGAAAACAAAAAAGAAAUAAUAAACAGGAUGUUUUUUAUUUUUUAUGAAAAGCAGAAUAUUUAACAUAUAAUUAAUACAUUUGGGUACAGCUUGUUAAUCCAGUGAGAAACUGGAUUUCCAUUAUGGAGUCACAAGGGAUUUUUACCUUUUAUGACACAACUGGCAAUAACUUUGAUUUGGGUUUUUCACUUUUUUUUUCCUGAUCAACAGCAUCAGAACAUAUGCAUAGUUAUGUAUAACAUGUAGGCAAGUUGCCUUUUUACUUUUUGUUUUUUUUAGGGGUAUAUUUAAAAUGUUUAAUUUCAUUGCCUGUAUUAUUUUACACUGUAAAGUAUUUUGUGAUCUGAAAGUAAAAAUAUAUUUUUUAUUUUAGUGUUCUGUAACAUGUUCCAACGGUACUCAAGAACGUCAAGUAAUGUGUAGUUCUGAUGACAGUAAAAACUGUAUUGACAAUAAACCUGAC